rnacentral:rRNA from 1 species
UACAGAGGUCCCAAGCGUUGUUCGGAUUCAUUGGGCGUAAAGGGUGUGUAGGUGGCGCCGUAAGUCGGGUGUGAAAUCUCGGGGCUUAACUCCGAAACUGCAUUCGAUACUGCCGUGCUUGAGGACUGGAGAGGAGACUGGAAUUUACGGUGUAGCGGUGAAAUGCGUAGAUAUCGUAAGGAAGACCAGUGGCGAAGGCGGGUCUCGUGGACAGUUCCUGACGCUGAGGCACGAAGGCCAGGGGAGCAAACGGG